UUCAACUUCUUUAUAACACACCCCAAGACACUAUUCACUCCCGGGCAGUUUGAAAUCUGAUAACUUUCGCCGGAGCUCCCUGAAUGUCCGUUUGAGCUCAAACUUGACAGUCAUAUUCGGUUUUACUUAACUUAACAAGCUGACGAUCGCUGGUUCAGUUUCGACCCCGUUUGGUCACUGAAAACUGUACCGAACUGUAAUCUUUAUCAGAUAGCUGUCGGAUUUUAUUUCUCACUCUACGGGUGUCAGAAAAAUAUGAAACUUUAAAUCUAGCCUCAUAAAAAUAUUUCUGACUUAUCCUCCAAUUUUCAUAAUUUUCUGACACUGUGCAUUUUCUGCUAAUUUAUCUGUCCCGUUUCCAACAGAAAAUUCUAGAUCUUCUGUUUUCAUUCCGAUUUCGGCACAAGUCACUUCUGACUUAUAUUUUACUUCUACAAAUCCAAUAAAAAUAGUUUCUCACACUAUUUUUAUUUAUUUUUAUUUUUAUACCAAAAUCUGGUAUGUUACAUUCUCCACCCCUUAAAAGAAUUUCUUCCGCGAAAUUCAAACCACGCCUCAAUUCAGCUCCGU
rnacentral:lncRNA from 1 species